CCUACGGGUGGCUGCAGUGGGGAAUAUUGGGCAAUGGGCGCAAGCCUGACCCAGCAACGCCGCGUGAAGGAAGAAGUCUUUCGGGUUGUAAACUUCUUUUGUCAGGGACGAAGCAAGUGACGGUACCUGACGAAUAAGCCACGGCUAACUACGUGCCAGCAGCCGCGGUAAGACGUAGGUGGCAAGCGUUAUCCGGAUUUAUUGGGUGUAAAGGACGUGUAGGCGGGAAUGCAAGUCAGAUGUGAAAACUAUGGGCUCAACCCAUAGCCUGCAUUUGAAACUGUAUAUCUUGAGUGCUGGAGAGGCAAUCGGAAGUCCGGGUGUAGCGGUGAAAUGCGUAGAUAUACGGAGGAACACCAGUGGCGAAGGCGGAUUGCUGGACAGUAACUGACGCUGAGGCGCGAAAGCGUGGGGAGCAAACAGGAUUAGAUACCCCAGUAGUC
rnacentral:rRNA from 1 species